rnacentral:SRP_RNA from 2 species
GCCGGGCUUGGUGGUGCUCGCCUGUAGUCCCAGCUACUUGGGAGGCUGAGGUGGGAGAAUUGCUUGAACCCAGGAGGCAGAGGUUGCAGUGAGCCAAGAUCUGGCCACUGCACUCCAGCCUGGGUGACAGAGUGAGACUCCGUCUCAA